rnacentral:rRNA from 1 species
UACGAGGGGGGCAAGCGUUGUUCGGAAUUAUUGGGCGUAAAGGGCGCGUAGGCGGUGCGGUAAGUCUUCUGUGAAAUCUCCGGGCUCAACUCGGAGCCUGCAGAGGAAACUGCCGUGCUGGAGUGUGGGAGAGGAGAGUGGAAUUCCCGGUGUAGCGGUGAAAUGCGUAGAUAUCUGGAGGAACACCGGUGGCGAAGGCGGCAUCCUGGACCGACACUGACGCUGAGGAGCGAAAGCCAGGGGAGCAAACGGG